CAUCAUACUCCUCCUCAGCGGCAGCCGCACCGAGGGGACGGGUUACAUGGAAUAAGCGCCGCCUACUCGCCAGAGGGAGCGACAGCGGCAGUGAGCGGAGGCCGCCUCUGUCGACCCACAGUGGCACCUGAGUCACUUGAAGCCAAGAGUCAUUCCACUCUUUCCUGCCUGAGACUUCAGUCAUUCAAAAUAAUUCAGCCUGAAGAAGGGUCCUGACUUGAAACGUCACCUAUCCAUGUUCUCCAGAGAUGCUGCCUUACCUGAAAAGGCUACACAAUUUUGUGUCUUUUUUUGUAAACCAGCAUCUGCAGUUCAUUGUAUCCACAUUCAAAAUUACUUGCAAAAUGACAGUUACUCCUUGAUAUCACAAUCAUCAAAUGUCAUAUCCAAGGUAGUAUCACAUUGCUGCAUCCUGAUUUACAUUGCUUUAUUGUUUGUAAUCAUGCUGUUAUUCUAAUCAAAAGCUCAUUCGUGUCAGGUUCAUAAUUUUAAUGUAAAAGCUCAAAAAUAAAGGUCAUAUAUCUCAAACCAGC